GGUGAGGUGGAUGAGUGGCUGAAAUCAACGGUUUGCUAAACCGUCGUACGGGUCAAACCGUACCGGGGGUUCGAAUCCCCCCCUCACCGC
rnacentral:tRNA from 1 species